CAAACCUUUAAGAGAGACACUGUUGAAAACAGUGCUUUUAACAGAAUUUUGCAGGCCAGCCUUAGAGCAUUUCGGCUGGCCUCAUGGACCAUACUUUGGGAGUGCCUUCUUAAGGGGAAUUCUGGUCUACUUAUUCUAAUAAAGUUCUCAAUUCAUCGUCAGAAGACUGAAACUCUUCUGGGGAUUCUGCACUAUUGUCAUUUGACAUGGUGGCUGUCGGGGUUUGUGGAUGGUUUAGAGGCAUAGGAGGUUAUUGGCCUAUCACAGAUUCCCUGGGAGCUGCUGUGUGCCAUGGGGGGCCUUACAGCCUAUUCUCUCUUGCAGAAGGGACAUGCUCUGCCACCCCCAAGGAACAAUAAUGUUCAGACAAAGAACAUUUUUUCCAGAUCUCUUGCAAACAUGGAACUGAGCAUGGAACCCUUUCUGAGCCAGGAGGAAGCUGCAGAAUUUCACGUAUCUGCUCUGCCUUCAAGCCAGGAUGAAUACUGGGCAGAAGCUUCUUUAAAGCCAUCUUACUUAUCCAAGGCACCAAGAGGACCUGCGUCUGGGCACUGAGAGUUGUGUAUCUGUGUUACAUGUUGGAACAGUGUGACUGUAAGAUUAAGUCCCUGUCUGCUACUGGUUGGUCUUGGACAUCUUCAGAGAUGAUUCCAGAGGAUCGCUGGCUAUCUGCAUGGCAAGAAACACUUCUGUGUUAGCUGUCAGCACACAAAUUGAUCUGUCAGAUGUAAAGGAUCUUUAAAUGAUAAUGUAAAGGAAAGGACUGGAUGGCAUAAUUUCAGGAAGCUGUCCAGAUGCAAGGUGUGUAUUUUGAAAUGGAGCUGUAGUCUGGUUUUGAAUAGACUCAAACGUUUGUGAUUUAGUUGGGAUAUGUAUCGGAAUGGAUUGAUCUGUCUGUUUUCUUUCCAUGUAUGUGUGGAGAAACUUCCUUUACCUCUUUAACAGAAGAUUUUUGGAUGCCUCUGGUAUGUCUGGAGGGGUGACAGCACUGUGAAAUUGUAUUAAUUGAUGUUAUGUCCUCUUCCUCAGAACAUGCCAGUUUCAUUAGAAUUCAUGACUUGAAACAGCAAUAGGCCACAAUAUGCAUGCAUUUGCAAUUGAAGGACUUGCUGUAGCUAAAGAAUUCACACAAAAUCAUGUGAGAGGGAGACAGGCACAUGACCAGCUUUGAAUGUAUGCUUCCCACACAACAGAAACCGCAAAUAUGUGCAAUUGAUGAACAGCUAAACCAAAUGCUGUGUUGGUGGCUGCUGCAAUUUCACGUAUGGUGCUCUGCUUGACCACUUACUCUGCUUGACCACUUGCUCUGCGAGUUCUACGAGAAGGCUGUAUUUGUUUCAGACCUUCCAGACCUUCCUCUGGCACAGUAGUCCUACAAACAACUCCUUGUUUUCCCAUUUUUUUGACCCUAUUGCCAGGCAG
rnacentral:lncRNA from 1 species